rnacentral:rRNA from 1 species
GAGUUUGAUCGUGGCUCAGGAUGAACGCUGGCGGUACGUCUGACACAUGCAAGUCGAACGGUAAGCCACCUUCGGGUGGCCUAGAGUGGCGAACGGCUGAGUAACACGUAGGAACCUACCCCUCAGUUCGGGACAACGGGACGAAAGCCCCGCUAAUACCGGAUAAUAUCGAAAGAUUGAUUACUGCUGAGGGAGGGGCCUGCGGGCUAUUAGCUUGAUGGUGGGGUAACGGCCUACCAUGGCGAUGAUGGCUAGCUGGUCUGAGAGGAUGAUCAGCCAGACUGGGACUGAGACACGGCCCAGACUCCUACGGGAGGCAGCAGUUCAGAAUCUUGCACAAUGGGCGAAAGCCUGAUGCAGCGAUACCGCGUGGGUGAAGAAGGCCCUCGGGUCGUAAAGCCCUGUCAGAGGGAAAGAUAAUGACGGUACCCUCUAAGGAAGCCACGGCUAAUUACGUGCCAGCAGCCGCCGUAAG